UACGUAGGGUGCAAGCGUUGUCCGGAAUUAUUGGGCGUAAAGAGCUCGUAGGCGGUUUGUUGCGUCGGCUGUGAAAUCCCGAGGCUCAACCUCGGGUCUGCAGUCGAUACGAGCAAACUAGAGUGUUGCAGGGGAGACUGGAAUUCCUGGUGUAGCGGUGAAAUGCGCAGAUAUCAGGAGGAACACCGGUGGCGAAGGCGGGUCUCUGGGCAACAACUGACGCUGAGGCGCGAAAGCGUGGGGAGCGAACGGG
rnacentral:rRNA from 1 species